rnacentral:tRNA from 1 species
CAAGAAAUAGUUUAAUUAAAAUAUUAAUUUUGGAGAUUAAUGAUAAAGAUAUUUUCUUUUUUCUUGA